rnacentral:rRNA from 1 species
UACAGAGGUCCCGAGCGUUGUUCGGAUUCACUGGGCGUAAAGGGCGCGUAGGUGGCUGGACAAGUUUGAUGUGAAAGCUCAGGGCUUAACCCUGAAAUGGCAUUGGAUACUGUCGAGCUGGAGGGUUGGAGGGGGGACUGGAAUUCUUGGUGUAGCAGUGAAAUGCGUAGAUAUCAAGAGGAACACCAGUGGCGAAGGCGAGUCCCUGGGCAACAACUGACACUGAGGCACGAAAGCGAGGGGAGCAAACAGG